GGGUUACAGGUGUGUGCCACCACACCCAGCUUGACUUUAUUUUUGAAAGAUAGUUUCACUUGAUACUAGGUUUAUGCCUUGUUUUGCAUUAGGAGUUUGUACAGUUUCAUUGCCUUCAGUCCUCUGUCAUUUUGACAAGAUAUCCACUGUAAAUCAUGACAUCCCUUCUAUGUGAUGAGUCAUUUUUGUCGAGCUACUAUGAAGAUUUUGGUCUUUAAUAUUGUAGUUUGGAUCUGAAAAAGACCAUGGGUUGAAGGCUUUGUCCUGAUGAAGUAGCAUUCAGAGGACAGGUCUUUGGGAGAUUGUUGUGGUCUGGAUAAAAAAUGUCCCAUGUUUUCAAAGGGAAACUCCCGGAAGGUAAUUAGAUCUGGGAUGGAAUGAUGGAUUACUUUGCUGAUAGUUCAUAGCUGAAUAUGCUGAUAGGAAGUGGGGCCUGGUUAAAGGAAGAAGGUCACUAUAGGUGUAACGUGGAAGAGUGUAUCCUACACCACUGCCAGCUAACUAAGGGUGUGCAUGUUGUUUUCCUUUUAAGACAAAAGUUAAUGUAUGUUAUUUUUUAAAAACUAAAUCCUCAAUAUCCAAGUUUAAUUGCAGUGUUGACGCUUUGCAAUAAGUAAGUGGGUUUUGGAUUGUAGCUUGUAACAUUUGUCUCUGAAAGGUUGCCAUCACUGUCAGAAUACCACGCCCUUCCUCUAUCUCUGUCUCUCUUGUUAUCCUCUCUCUCCUUCCCUCUUCCAUCUCCCACUUCUCCCCCACUCCUUCUCCUCCCUCUCGGCCUUCUGGCCAACAUGAGAUGAGCAAUUUUGUUCCACCAUGUGCUGCUGCCGUGAAGGUCUGCUUUGUAAGCCCAGAAGCAGUGGAGCCAUGGAACCAUGGAUGGCAAGCUCUGAAAUUUAGCCAAAUUCUGGAAUCAACUAUUUCUCCUAGAAGUCCUGAUUCCUCAUAGAGAACAGUUUUAUAUGACAAAAUUGGAACACUAGUUGUGCUCCUUGUUACCAGAUAUUUUUGCUUUGAAGUCCUUUAGUUUACAGAGCAAGGCAGAUGGGAAAGAACCAACAUUCCAAUUUGAUGAUGAAAACAGCGAUUUCUGAAAUUCAUUCAGAGAAUGAAGGAAACAGGCUGGGUCUCCUCCAUGUCACCAGGAUGUGGAUCGAGCUCUGAGUAAAGAGGUGGAGGCUGGUAGCGCACUUCUUCCUCACCGUCAGAGGGCCGAGGGUAAGGAAUGAUGAGUCCACAGAGUUCUUCCUCUGACUCCACAACUGCGUAAUUUGGUGGUGCUUCAGGCUGUCCUGGCAGGGUCGGUGUCAGCCAGCUGUAUCCACGCUGAACUGGCUGGCGGUGCUGGAGUUUCUGCUGCCCAAACCGUUAAAUGGAAUUGUACCAAUGACUAAUGGCAGCUUGAGCAUCAGCCUUUUAGCACCAGGAGUGUGAAUGAAUACAGCCAAGGAACAGUCCACUCUGAUAGUGCAACAAUCCAGGAUGGAGGGAGUCGCCGGUGGAACUUUUUGAGUCUCCCUUUCCACACGUCGGUGCUACCAGAAGCAGUGAUGUGGUUGUCAGGAGAUGUGGGUCGAUGUUGCUCUGGGAGAGCAGUGGCAUACGGUGGGGGAAAGUCUGCUUUUUUUUCUUGUUCAGGUCAUAGAGAAUUGGUUUCUUCGACCCUUCUGAAUCAUUUUGCUUCAAGAUCACUAUUCUCCCUUUUGUCCCCAUGACACAAAUGCGUAGCCAGGAGGGCAUUUCUCCGUGCAGUAUCAGCCAGCAAUCGAUGUACGGAAAUUGGUCGGGAAGCUCUUUCACCUGGAUCCCUGACUGGCAGCCACGUAUCUCACAAUCUCAAUGUCUAGAGUGCCCUCUGCUGGCCACCCAUUGCACAGACGUGGCCAUUCUAAUUCGCAAAUGGUUCUAAGCUUUUGGGGCUUCAUUUUAACAUCACAGUCACCUGAAAAUCCUUUCUUAAAGUUCUUUCACAGGCAUUCCAAUACAGUGGGGGCGUGAGGUACCCGUCCGUCCCCGUGAUCACUAGGUAUUGGUGUUCGUGGCGCCCUGAUUCAGGGUCGCAAGACAAACAAAGGAGGGCGACCGCGAGGGGCAGUCCUCACAAAGCCUGUCCAGUGUACUAUGCACUUUUCAGACCGUCCAGACUUGGGAAACUACUUGUCGCCAGAGCCUCGGAACGAGCCCUUUCCUUUCCAGACGCGUCUGCAGAUCGCUGAGCAAGCCCCUUCAAGUCCGCUGCUUCUGGGAGGAUCUUAAAGCUCAAGCGCCCUUCCCUUCCUCGCGGAGCACGCACUGUCCCUUCUCAGUCACACUCUUUCACCCUCAUUCAGAGGUUGAACUCUCCUCCCCGGGGUGACCCUUUCUAAUUCAAAUUGUUCAACGGACAGACUCAAGAGUCCUGACAAAAGAGGGGCUAGGUCUCAAGGGGUUAUCAGGCCCCUUUCUUAUCCAGGAGGUGGAUAAAAACAGAACCAAAGGUUUCUAACUGGAGUUUGUCCCGGGGUAGCCUACCUUAUCCCUCACCCUUCGUCUCUUUUCCAGGUUCGGUCCAACAGCUGGCAGGGAGGAGGGUGUCCCGAGUUUUUGAGGGGUCGAGGAAAAGUCUCCAAGGGGCGCCUCUCCUGCAAUGAGUUGGGAGACUCGACUCAGUCUGGCAGGUCCUGGUUCGAUGGCCAAGCGACGACGUGGCCUGAAGUUACUUUCCAUUUCCGGCCAAUGCACCAAAUGUUGUGGCAAGCGUACCAAAAAGAAAUUUAAGAGACUCAAGAGUUGGGUGGCUUUUGAUAAGCGAAGUCCUAAGAUACCUCUCGCUACAGGAAGAGCAUUGUGGUUUGGAAAGUACAUAUCUAAACAGAGCAUAUCUUAGCAUUUCACCAUAAUAUUGUGUCUUAUGAAUUACAAUUUUAGCUUUAUGAAUUAGUUUUCCUGUAACAAUCCUGUUUGUUGAUUCUUUUUUUUCCCCAUUAAGUUUAUUGG